ensembl:snRNA U6 U6 spliceosomal RNA
GUGCGUUUUGUCCAUUUCUUUGUUCAACACGCCAAGAAUCCGGACACCUUACACCAUUAGCACAUAUGCUAAAAUUGGAAUGAUACAGAGAAGGUUAACAUGCUCCUUGCACAAGGAUAACACGCAAAUUUGUGAAGUGUUUCAUUUAAAA